UGGGGAAUAUUGCGCAAUGGGCGAAAGCCUGACGCAGCGACGCCGCGUGGGGGAUGACGGCCUUCGGGUUGUAAACCUCUUUCAGCAGGGACGAAGCGGAAGUGACGGUACCUGCAGAAGAAGCACCGGCCAACUACGUGCCAGCAGCCGCGGUAAUACGUAGGGUGCAAGCGUUGUCCGGAAUUAUUGGGCGUAAAGAGCUCGUAGGCGGUUUGUUGCGUCGGCUGUGAAAACCUGAGGCUCAACCUCAGGCCUGCAGUCGAUACGAGCAGACUAGAGUGUUGCAGGGGAGACUGGAAUUCCUGGUGUAGCGGUGAAAUGCGCAGAUAUCAGGAGGAACACCGGUGGCGAAGGCGGGUCUCUGGGCAACAACUGACGCUGAGGAGCGAAAGCGUGGGGAGCGAACAGG
rnacentral:rRNA from 2 species